rfam:Burkholderia glumae BGR1 chromosome 1, complete sequence.
GUUAUCUGCCGGGUAGGCAGCUUAGAAA